AAGCCCGAACCACGUUAAUUCAAAUUGGCCCGUACCCUAAACCGACACAGGUGGGAAGGUAGAGUAUACCCAGGGGCGCGAGAUAACUCUCUCUAAGUAACUCGGCAAAAUGGCCCCGUAACUUCGGGAGAAGGGGUGCCACCGAGAGGUGGUCGCAGUGAAGAGUCCCAGGCGACUGUUUACCAAAAACACAGGUCUCCGCUAAGUCGCAAGACGAUGUAUGGGGGCUGACGCCUGCCCAGUGCCGGAAGGUUAAGGAAGUUGGUCAGGGAGCAAUCCUGAAGCUAGCGACUGAAGCCCCGGUGAACGGCGGCCGUAACUAUAACGGUCCUAAGGUAGCGAAAUUCCUUGUCGGGUAAGUUCCGACCCGCACGAAAGGCGUAACGAUCUGGGAGCUGUCUCGGAGAGAGGCUCGGCGAAAUAGGAAUGUCUGUGAAGAUACGGACUACCUGCACCCGGACAGAAAGACCCUAUGAAGCUUUACUGUAGCUUGGUAUUGGGUUCGGGCUUUGAUUGCGCAGGAUAGGUGGGAGACUAUGAGAUAGCUCUUGUGGGAGUUAUGGAGUCACUGGUGAGAUACCACUCUAUCAAGGCUAGAAUUCUAACUUUGACCCGUUAUCCGGGCAGAGAACAGUAUCAGGUGGGCAGUUUGACUGGGGCGGUCGCCUCCUAAAUGGUAACGGAGGCGCGCAAAGGUUCCCUCAGGCUGGUUGGAAAUCAGCCAUUGAGUGUAAAGGCAUAAGGGAGCUUGACUGCGAGACUGACAAGUCGAGCAGGUACGAAAGUAGGCCUUAGUGAUCCGACGGUUCCGCGUGGAAGGGCCGUCGCUCAACGGAUAAAAGUUACUCUAAGGAUAACAGGCUGAUCUCCCCCAAGAGUUCACAUCGACGGGGAGGUUUGGCACCUCGAUGUCGGCUCAUCGCAACCUGGGGCUGUAGUCGGUCCCAAGGGUUGGGCUGUUCGCCCAUUAAAGCGGUACGUGAGCUGGGUUCAGAACGUCGUGAAACAGUUCGGUCCAUAUUCGGUGCAGGCGUAGGAACAUUGAGAGGAGUCUUCCUUAGUACGAGAGGACCGGGAAGAACGCACCGCUGGUGUACCUGUUAUCGUGCCAACGGUAAACGCAGGGUAGCCAAGUGCGGAGAGGAUAACCGCUGAAAGCAUCUAAGUGGGAAGCCCACCUCAAGAUGAGUGUUCCCAUGGCAAAAGCCAGUAAGGUCACGGGUAGACCACCCGUUAAUAGGCGCUAGAUGGAAGUCCAGCAAUGGAUGUAGUCGAGGCGUACUAACAGACGAGGGCUUGAC
rnacentral:rRNA from 1 species